rnacentral:lncRNA from 1 species
UGGUAACGGCUUACCUGUACGGCAGGUGGCAGCAGACUGCGACCCUGCAUACUUGGUGAUCCGCGCGCAUCAGAUGUGGCGGCGGAAGGGAUUAAAUACAUGCAUACAUAUAUACACAUAUAUACAUACAUACAUACCUGGAACGAGUGAGCGGCAUCAGCGGGAAGUGGCAGCGGCGACGCGCGGGUUAUACAUACAUCCGACACUGCCCGUCGCAGCCGUCGCCGCCGCCGCCACAACCAUGAUUUUUUUACUUCGUUGCGCAUUUCAUUUGGGGAUGGGCAGGCCGCCAGGUGACACUUAGUCGCACAGAGAGCAGCGGGACGUGUGUCAUUAUCGCUGAAAGAGGGGCUUGUCGAGGGAACCUUGAUAAUGCAUUUCAAUAAAAUUGGUACGGUAGCUGGAGCGCGCGAGCGCGCACAUGUGUGUGUGUGUGGCUUGGAUCUUCUUGGUAGGAAGAUGCUUGCAACAUCGCUGCCGGUUGUCUGCGUCUUGGAAGCCCGGUGUAUGUGAUGUGUCCACACCCCCUAAGUAUCCAAGGAUAGCCUUCUGCGUUUUCCGUCGUACGCCACGAUGGUCGUACGCCUGCUAAGCAAUGUGCGCCGUUUUUUUUCACUGUUGCACUGCCGCGUUUUCCUAUCGUAAGUAAAGUUGUAUAUCCUGCUUUUCUUCACAAACACAUAUCACAUAUUCUCUCUUUCCCAGAUCAGUGGUGGCUUUCUCUCGUGGUGUUUUAUUCCAUUUACUAGGAUAUCACUUCCCACUUGUUUGUCCGUGCUCACGCGCCCAUGCGCGCCUCAUUAAUAUGUACUCGAAGGCCCACGGAACCCGAUUACGAUUGUGCCCGUGGUGCAGCCGUACCUGUCAUAUGUAAGUAGAUUCAAUAGAUAGCGGAUGAUAGACAAUGCUGACACACUAGCUCAACGGCUCAUUAUGGCAAAGUAGUGCAUGGGUCUAGCUGCUGACGGUUUAGCUAGUGCUGGUCACCGAACUUGUGUCUUCUUUUUGCACUCUCUAUCUAGGCAUUUCUGUCGUUAGGUUUCGGGGCGCCUGCCGGAGGCUCUCCAGUCAGCCGUCAUGCACUUGAUGUACGGCGGUAAUCAGUAAAUCUGCUCGUACUUUUUGUAUGCUGAUGUAUGAAGUACUCGUGCAGAUACUUUGAUGCAGCAAGACACGUAAUGUACGGAGGUGCUCUGUACGUAAAGUACGUGGCAUGCGAAGUCCUUACAGCGGAGCAUUUGGCGUACGGAGGUAUUUGGCGUACGGAGGUAUUUGGCGUACGGAGGUAUUUGGCGUACGGAGGUAUUUGGCGUACGGAGGUACAUGGCGUACGGAGGUACAUGGCGUACGGAGGUAUUUGGCGUACGGAGGUAUUUGGCGUACGGAGGUACAUGGCGUACGGAGGUACAUGGCGUACGGAGAUACUUGGCGUGUAGGCGUACUUGGUGCAACAAGGCACAUGAUGUACGGAUCACUGAGUUUCAUCAGUUCUGCGAGUAAAAUUUGUGUGUUAAUGCACAGCUGCAGAUUGAAAGCCGAUUGAUAGGAGGUGAGGCCGAAAGCGAGGGGUAGUGUAGAGGUUAGACGGCCGGUUGUUUGGCGUUGCGGAGGUUGGGAUAUGGGGCUGCCUUGGGCUCUAGCGGGGCUGUGCCUAGGGAAUAUUUCCCAAUGCGAUAUUGUUCCGAUGUUCCGAUGGCUUGGAUGUGGGAGUCCAGUGUCGUGUCUCGUCCUUGAACUUGUAGAUCAGCAGAUCGCGAAAAUAAAUUGAUUGUUGAAUGGGUGGACGAACGGCAGAUGGAUGGCCGUGGAUAUUUAAGCCGUCGUUGUUUGGCUAUAUAUUUCUACCGGCAUCUGUCUCGUCCCUUGGUAAAGCAAGCGUUCCUGAUCAGUAGUAUAAGGACUUGUUCACAUGCUGUGUAAUUAGUACGGUGCGGCGGAAUUGUGAUUUGAAUUUUGGGCUAUUGGGCCGAAUGUCGAACUUGGGGGCUGAUUCGGCUGGAUUCGGGAUUGAUUCGAUGUAUAUGGAAAAAAAAUUGAUAUAAAGACCAUUUUGUAAUUGGGGACCCCACUUUAUUAAUUCACCAGUCGGCAAAUGCCGUGAAUUACUUUUUAGCAAUUAACCUGCCAUACAUAUACUUCUAUGAAAAGGGCAUCAGUAUGAAGUUAUCCAUAAGUGGCACACUAGUUAUCAGGGCCUCAGACCUGCUGAUAACUUUCAAAGUGGACAUCAACUUCCGAGCGGGAAAAUUCAUAGUCAGCCAUUUCCCUCCCCAAGGUCCUUCG